AAUCAAAGGGAAGCAAAGAGGUUUCAAGAAUAAUUAAAGCCAGUCAAACUUUUGACUGUUGAUUUUUGUGUAAUCAAGAGUUUAGAGAAGAAGUUGCAGGUACAAGUUCUUGAUGUGCAUGGAAAUCAUAAGCAUCCGGAUGGGAGUUUUAGUACACGAGUACUUUCUUAUUUAAGUUAUCUUGAAUUUUAUAUUUGACUUUACUUGACCAAUGGGGUCAAGGUUUGACUUUUGAAUAUGGGACUAGUAUGGGAUAGUCUCGGAGUUUGUAAUUCAUUUACAUACUUUCU